rnacentral:rRNA from 1 species
UACGGAGGAUCCGAGCGUUAUCCGGAUUUACUGGGUGUAAAGGGAGCGUAGACGGUACGCCAAGUCUGAAGUGAAAUGCCGCAGCUUAACUGCGGAACUGCUUUGGAAACUGGCGGGCUAGAGUGCGGGAGGGGUAAGCGGAAUUCCUAGUGUAGCGGUGAAAUGCGUAGAUAUCACGCAGAACUCCGAUUGCGAAGGCAGCUUACUAAGCCAUAACUGACACUGAAGCACGAAAGCGUGGGGAUCAAACAGG